GGUCCGGUAGCUCAGUAGGUAGAGCAAUGGACUGAAAAUCCAUGUGUCGCCGGUUCGAUCCCGGCCUGGACCACCA
rnacentral:tRNA from 1 species